rnacentral:rRNA from 1 species
CCUACGGGUGGCUGCAGUGGGGAAUAUUGGACAAUGGGGGGAACCCUGAUCCAGCCAUGCCGCGUGUGUGAAGAAGGCCCUCGGGUUGUAAAGCACUUUCAGUGAGGAAGAACGCCUGGUGGUUAAUACCCAUCGGGAAAGACAUCACUCACAGAAGAAGCACCGGCUAACUCCGUGCCAGCAGCCGCGGUAAUACGGAGGGUGCGAGCGUUAAUCGGAAUUACUGGGCGUAAAGCGCGCGUAGGUGGCUUGAUAAGCCGGUUGUGAAAGCCCCGGGCUCAACCUGGGAACGGCAUCCGGAACUGUCAAGCUAGAGUGCAGGAGAGGAAGGUAGAAUUCCCGGUGUAGCGGUGAAAUGCGUAGAGAUCGGGAGGAAUACCAGUGGCGAAGGCGGCCUUCUGGACUGACACUGACACUGAGGUGCGAAAGCGUGGGUAGCAAACAGGAUUAGAUACCCUUGUAGUC